AAGCAUUUUCAGCAAAAUGAAAUGCUAUAGUUGGAAAGUUCUAAACAUUUCGGAUGAUAGUUCCAAAGUAACAAAUCUCGUUUGAAUGUCUCUUGAUCAACUUUUAUAUAUAUAUAUAUAUAUAUAUCCAAACGAGGUUUGUUACUUUGGAAUAUCUUUCGAAAUCUGAAAAACUUUUCAACUAUAGCAUUAUUUUUUGCGGAAAAUUUGUUU